rnacentral:rRNA from 1 species
AUUGAACGCUGGCGGCAGGCCUAACACAUGCAAGUCGAACGAGUGGCGGACGGGUGAGUAAUGUCUGGGCAACUGCCUGGUGGAGGGGGAUAACUACUGGAAACGGUAACUAAUACCGCAUACCAUCGGAUGUGCCCAGAUGGGAUUAGCUAGAUGGUGGGGUAACGGCUCACCACGGCGACGAUCCCUAGCUGGUCUGAGAGGAUGACCAGCCACACUGGAAGUGAGACACGGUCCAGACUCCUACGGGAGGCAGCAGUGGGGAAUAUUGCACAAUGGGCGCAAGCCUGAUGCAGCCAUGCCGCGUGUAUGAAGAAGGCCUUCGGGUUGUAAAGUACUUUAAGCGGGGAGGCGUUACCCGCAGAAGAAGCACCGGCUAACUCUGUGCCAGCAGCCGCGGUAAUUC